CACACGGCGGCCGCGCGCGGAGCAUGGCGGGUUUUUGUUGUUUGCUUGGCCUCGGAAAGCAAUUCGAUAAGUGAUUGCUGGGGACACUGGAGGGCACUGAAGUUUAUAGAAAGAGGAACGCCAUAAUGAAGCUUUAUUGGGAUGGCAUCACCAAACAAUUGCUGUGAUAGCAACACUCCCGAGCCUGGAAAAAUGCCAAACAUUCCCCCUGGAACUGACUCAGGCAGUAGCCUCUCUGGCUCAGGACUAAGGCAGAAAAUGGAUGCUUUCUGGUUCAUAAAAUGGCCUCUUUCCAGCUUGGAAAUGAGUGAGGAACUGUCCAGUUGAUUUGGAAAGCGCUCGGGAAAUGGCCUUUCUCCAUCAGCAACUUCAGAACUCAUCUGUUCUGCUUUGGAUUACGGCUUGGAACUACAAGAGUGGUUUUUUCUUCUUUUUACUUCUUUUUGUUUCCUUCCAAGUUGACUGGGACUACUCAAAAGUUUGUGGAUUUUUUUUUUCCUAAGAAAAACACCAAACAACGACAACCAAAAAAAUAACUCUACCCAAUAGCAGAGGUUGUAGAGGACUUCUGUAGGAAUUUAAGUAGAAAAGAUUAUUUCCCAUCUCAAAGAUCAAACCCAGUUGAGAGAGUAUCUAAAAAAUCAUUCCCCCCUCUGCUGCUGGAUAGGAAUAGUGUCCCACCCCCAUGUCUGCACAUGGGGCUGCUUUUCCACCCCCACCCCUCAGCAGAUGAACCUGGGGGACAAAUCAUUGGGUAUCUAUCUAUACCUCACGCAGAAACAAUAGCAUCAAAGAACAGUAGUAACAAUCCAGGCUUAAUCACUUCCAAACUUAAGAAAAAAAAAAUCAUUGUAGUUGGAUGGAAGUGACAAAUUCUUGACUCAAGCAUCCCAACACUACAGUGAGUUGUGAACCCAAACUGGGCCCUGCACACCAUCCACAGGAUCAGCUGCUGCAUCAGUUACGAGCCAGUGGUGCAGGAAGGUGCUCCGCACCACCUCAUGCAGAUUCCCAACUUUUUUCUUCCCUGUUGUAAUUCUGCCUUAGAUUCAGUGCUGUGCUCCCUGCAUAUGACAGCCGUGUUUCUCUCAGUUACGACCGUUGGACAAUUAAUGUUACUUUGAGGGUCACUUAACAGCAUCAUCUGUGUGGGGAAAAAUGUAAUCCCAGAUUAGUGCAUAGAUGGCUUCUAGAUCUACACCAAGGAAAAGGGACAUUAUUUUGCCAGAACUAAAUGAAAAUGCUUAAUUUUACACGAUGUUGUCAUUUGUCCUCUGCAAUUCCAGUUCAUUGGGAUCUCAAAUUAGAAAAUUAUUUUG
ensembl:lncRNA